GCAUCUUGGGAGACAAGUGACCCCACAGUGAGACACUAUGGGGUCAUCAUAGGGAAUGCAUUCCUCAGAGCCCUCACAAUCCUCUGUCCAGGCUUCUCUGCAAGCGUCAGGAAGUCCAACUCAAAUGAGAAUCUACUGGCUCCAUUCUGAGUCAGAGACACCCUUGGGCUCCUGUGGGAUCAACUGCAGCCUCACAGGUUCUGGGUUUCCAGCAGCCAUCCUCUGUCCUGCCAGAAGCCCAGCAGAAGUCUCCUUGGCUCUCCCUAGUUCUGAGUUGGGUCCUGUUGCUGCAGCACUUCAGCCUGUUAAAGUGAGAAAGGCCCGAAGGUCCUUUUAUCCAACAUCUUUCCGCCCUCCGACCUGAGAUGCAGCUUCUCGAAGGUAGUCCCUGGAAGGUGGCCAAUGUGCCGGGUUUGGCAGCGGCUGGGUGGGACGGGCUGGCCCCGCGAUGGCGCUAGGCGCGCACCUGCGCGUACUC
rnacentral:lncRNA from 1 species